UGCUGGGGACAGAAUUGACUCAUGGGACACGUCCUGGCUUCAUUCCGUCCUCAGGUCCGGCACUUCAGAGGGGCCAUGGGAAAGGAAGGGUGCUCUUGGCAGAAGAAAAAGUAGGUGUACGGGACAGAGACAGCAUACCCUCUCCUGGAAAGGGCUAAAGUCCAAGAUCCUUAACGUGGCAGGCAAGGUCCCUGUGAUUGGCCCCUGGCCAACACCUCAGCUUCUUCUUGGAGGCUUCCUCCCUGCUAACUGUUCUCCAACAACCCGGUAGAGUGUCUUGGCCACCUGGAUCCUGGUUGCAGCAGUGGCAUCUCUGGGGGACGUUUGUCUUUUUUUCUGUCUGUCCAGUGUCUUUGAACACGCUUUCCACAUUUGGGAAGUUUUAUGCCUCACUGGUCUUCAUUCCCCAAGGAAUGAGAUCAACUUCAUGAGACUUAUUUUGAUGGGAUCAUCUGAGGUCAGGAGUUCGAGACCAACCUGGCCAACGUGGUGAAACCCCGUCUCUACUAAAAAUACAGAAUUAGCCGGGUGUGCCUGUAAUCCCAGCUACUUGGGAGGCUGAGGCAUGAG